GGUUGGACCAGGAAUCAAGCCUGGGCCUCCCAUCUUGUUCCAGCCUUCAAAGCAUAGUAUCUCAGAAGCACACAUUACAGAAUGCUCCAGAGCAACCUGGCUGCCACUGAAUACCACCAAAGGACCCAAGUGAUACACGCAGAGUAUAAGACAUGCUCAUCUGAGACUCUUCUGAUUGCUAAUCCACCAGUGCAUGUGAUUUAAUAAAAUGGUUACUGUUUUAAACCAGUAUGUCAGGCUCUUCAAAUCAGAAACACCGCCACCAGAAGGCCCCA